rnacentral:misc_RNA from 1 species
GAUGAAGAACGCAGCGAAAUGCGAUAAGUAGUGUGAAUUGCAGAAUUCAGUGUAUCAUCGAAUCUUUGAACGCACAUUGCGCCCUUUGGUAUUCCUUAGGGCAUGCCUGUUCGAGCGUCAUUUAAACCUUCAAGCUAAGCUUGGUGUUGGGUGACUGUCCGCUUCACGGCGGACUCGCCUCAAAAUUAUUGGCGGCCGGUACAUUGGCUUCGAGCGCAGCAGAAACGCGAACUCGGGCCCGUCGUAUUGGCUCCCAGAAGCUAUCUUCACAAUUUUGACCUCGGAUCAGGUAGGGAUACCCGCUGAACUUAAGCAUAUCAAUAAGCGGAGGA